rnacentral:tRNA from 1 species
GGAUGUAGCUCAGUUGGUAGAGUGCUUGCCUUGCAUGCACAAGGCCCUGGGUUCAAUUCCCAGCAUCACA